rnacentral:rRNA from 1 species
GAUGAACGCUGGCGGCGUGCCUAAUACAUGCAAGUCGAGCGAACGGACGAUAAGCUUGCUUCUCUGAUGUUAGCGGCGGACGGGUGAGUAACACGUGGAUAACCUACCUAUAAGACUGGGAUCACUUCGGGAAACCGGAGCUAAUCCCGGAUAAUAUUUUGAACCGCAUGGUUCAAAAGUGAAAGACGGUCUUGCUGUCACUUAUAGAUGGAUCCGCGCUGCAUUAGCUAGUUGGUAAGGUAACGGCUUACCAAGGCAACGAUGCAUAGCCGACCUGAGAGGGGGAUCGGCCACACUGGAACUGAGACACGGUCCAGACGCCUACGGGAGGCAGCAGUAGGGAAUCUGACGCAAUGGGCGAAAGCCUGACGGAGCAACGCCGCGUGAGUGAUGAAGGUCUUCGGAUCGGAAAACUCUGUUAUUAGGGAAGAACAUAUGUGUAAGUAACUGUGCACAUCUUGACGGUAACUAAUCAGAAAGCCACGGCUAACUACGUG